GAUUUUCCGGGGUGUACGUUACUUCCUUCACUGUGUUGACCGAUCAAGUAAUUUAAUUACGGGAUUGACUUCCUUUAUUCAUCAAAGCCAGCCUUUUCACGAGGACGCUAGUAUGAGUAAAUAGCCGAGCCCACCUGCCAUACCGCGGGUUCAAUACUAACGGAAGCUAAACGGCACUUCAGAUGAUCU
rnacentral:other from 1 species